UUUAGGCAAUUACAUGGGUUUCCAACAUUAAAACUCCUUCUUCCAAUAGGGACUAUCUUUCUCAUUCUCCACACGCAUUUUUACAAAUAUAAUAAAGUACUCAUCAUGCUUUCUCUCUCUAUGCUCUCUCUCUCUCUCUAAAAACACAAGAUUCUAGUAUUUUACAGUGGGCUUCAUAUUACAUGUAUGAAAACAAAUCACACAUGUAGGAGUUUUAUUUAACUUUUAUUUCUUUUAUUUUGGGCCAUUGGAUUGCAUCUAAUCCAAUGAUUGUGGUAUUGUAGGAACUUUACUCUUUAAAGGGAGUAAAACAUUUUUGUUUAGAGAGAGAAAGAGUGAGAACAAGAUAGAGAGAUUGGGGUUUUAUCUUGAGAGCUUGGUAUGCUUUGUUUUAGAGAGAGAAAGUGAGCAAAAGGCUUGAACUUCAUUGUGGGUUGGCUGUGUGCCAUAUUUUAGUGAGAGAAAGUGUUAAAGAGAACCUAUUUUUGGGUAUUCUUGGAGCCUUGCUUUUUGGCUCAGUUUAGAGUGAAAAAUGACAGCUGGAAAUUGAUAUUUUGAGCUCGAUUUCACCUUGUAAUCUUUUCAAAUUAGUAAGUAAAGUCUCAUAUCAUUCUCCCGUGGAUGUAGGUCACAAUUUGUGACCGAACCACUUUAAAUCUUUGUGCUCUGUGGAUUGAAUGUUGUUGGAUUUUUAUUCCAUGUUCUUGCUUUGAUAUUGUG
rnacentral:lncRNA from 1 species